rnacentral:misc_RNA from 1 species
AUGUGCUGGUGCUGCCGGGACACGGCGUGCCGUUCUACGGCGUGAAGACCCGCAUCAAGCAGCUUGCCGAUCAUCACGAAGAGCGCUGCCAGUUGAUCGCCAAUGCCUGCCGCACGUCGCCGAAGACUUCGGCGGAGCUUGUGCCGGUGGUGUUCCACAAGCAUGUUCUCGACGCCCAUCAGACCGGCUUCGCCGCCGGCGAACUGAUCGCGCAUGUCAAUCACAUGCUGGCGCACGACCGUCUGAAAUCCAAUGUCGGCGCGGAUGGCGUGCUGCGCUG